GAUGAACGCUGGCGGCGUGCCUAAUACAUGCAAGUCGAGCGAACGGACGAGAAGCUUGCUUCUCUGAUGUUAGCGGCGGACGGGUGAGUAACACGUGGAUAACCUACCUAUAAGACUGGGAUAACUUCGGGAAACCGUAGCUAAUACCGGAUAAUAUUUUGAACCGCAUGGUUCAAAAGUGAAAGACGGUCUUGCUGUCACUUAUAGAUGGAUCCGCGCUGCAUUAGCUAGUUGGUAAGGUAACGGCUUACCAAGGCAACGAUGCAUAGCCGACCUGAGAGGGUGAUCAGCCACACUGGAACUGAGACACGGUCCAGACUCCUACGGGAGGCAGCAGUAGGGAAUCUUCCGCAAUGGGCGGAAGCCUGACGGAGCAACGCCGCGUGAGUGAUGAAGGUCUUCGGAUCGUAAAACUCUGUUAUUAGGGAAGAACAUAUGUGUAAGUAACUGUGCACAUCUUGACGGUACCUAAUCAGAAAGCCACGGCUAACUACGUG
rnacentral:rRNA from 1 species